rnacentral:lncRNA from 1 species
UUGUGUAGACGGCGGCGAGAGCGGAGACAAAGACAUUGAGGACUUGGGAAAGUGAGGGUGUGAGACUCAAGAGAUAAAUGGCGGGAAAUGUCGUUGAGGCGUCUAACUAACUAUCAAGAAGAAUGCAUUUAAUUUAUUCUCGUAAUUGUUAUUGGCAGUCCAAACGUCAUAAUCGAUUAUUUAGAAAAUAAUACUAGUUCUAAAAGUAUUGAUUUCUUUGGAGUUUAACUGUUUUUUAGUUGAAUAUUAUAAGGAUAAUGAUU